CAAAGAAUAGUUUAGUUUAGAAUCCUACGCUUUGGGAGUUAGGGGUGA
rnacentral:tRNA from 1 species